rnacentral:rRNA from 1 species
GACGAACGCUGGCGGCGUGCUUAACACAUGCAAGUCGAACGGAAAGGCCCUGCUUUUGUGGGGUGCUCGAGUGGCGAACGGGUGAGUAACACGUGAGUAACCUGCCCUUGACUUUGGGAUAACUUCAGGAAACUGGGGCUAAUACCGGAUAGGAGCUCCUGCUGCAUGGUGGGGGUUGGAAAGUUUCGGCGGUUGGGGAUGGACUCGCGGCUGAUCAGCUUGUUGGUGGGGUAGUGGCUUACCAAGGCUUUGACGGGUAGCCGGCCUGAGAGGGGGGCCGGGCACAUUGGGACUGCGAUACGGACCAGACUGCUACGGGGGGCAGCAGGGGGGAAUAUUGCACAAUGGGCGGAAGCGUGAUGCAGCAACGCCGCGGGCGGGAUGACGGCCUUCGGGUUGUAAACCGCUUUCGCCUGUGACGAAGCGGGAGUGACGGUAAUGGGUAAAGAAGCACCGGCUAACUACGUG